ensembl:lncRNA
UGAGCUCAUUUAAAGGCUGGCAGCUGAAGGGGAAGGGUCUGCGCCUGCGGGUUGCUCUGGCUGUUUGGCUGCGUGAGUGCUGAGGCUUGGGAAGGGCUGAGUUGUUGUUCUCAUUUAAAGGCUGGCAGCUGAAGGGGAAGGGUCUGCGCCUGCGGGUUGCUCUGGCUGUUUGGCUGCGUGAGUGCUGAGGCUUGGGAAGGGCUGAGUUGUUGUUGUUUCUUUGCUUGAUGCUGACCUGCUUGUUUUUGGUUCAGUGUUGAGCAGAAGGUUCUGGACACCAGGACUCCUUUCAAGCGGUGUGAGGACUCCCCUGAGGGCCUUGGUGGACACAGCAGGAAGCCACAGCCAACGCUGCACACCGACAUCCACAGUUGAUCUUGUCUGGCAAGGGCUAUUGCUCCCAGAGAGCGUUUUUGCUCUUCUGGCCAUUCGACGGAAUUGGUGUCAGUUUCUACUCGUGCUCCCUGGGCUUUCCAAGGGUGUUCUCCUUACUUGACACCAUCUUUCCCGCCCUCACUUUCCAAGCAGGAGCUCCCCUUGGCCUCCGUGUCUCGCUCUGGCCAGGCAGACGUGGUGUGCCAACGGUACGCAGAGUCCAGACCCUGAGCAGAAGAACAACUGAGGAGAGAGGCUGCCCUGGGUGAGACAGGAGAAGUGUCCCUUGAAGCAGGGGACGCCCCGCUGGCGCUGCCUCUCGCAUCCACGGGCAGCGCGUUCCUUCUCUCUCCUUGCCGCCCGGCGCUUUGCCGUCUCCCAGGGCUCGCCAAGUCCAAAUGUUCCCUGAUGGAGUCCAACUCCAGCUUGACCAACACUCACCCCGUCUUGUCCCCGCACCAGCUGACUUAGGGCUCCCCAGCACUGCUGGCUAUCGGUGUCUUCUGUCGCUCCCAAUCAGCAUGGCUCUGUUCUUUGCCUUUUGGGUUCCAGAGCAUUUGCUACGGGUUAUGGAGUGUUUCUCUUCUUGUCUUCCAUGUUGCCCGUUGGCGCCUCGGUGGAGUUUCAGUGACCCAAACGCAGACGGCUCUGCGUUGACCAAGCGUGAUGCCAAGAGAAGAGGUAGGCACCAGAGCAGGCUGCUGGUGAGUGCUGUGCAUGACUCGGGGUUCGUAGGAUGCCCACUCUUUCUUACUAACCCAUGUUGUUCAGCAGCAAACGUGAAGGUUUCUUCUUUCCUUCCAGGACUGGAGACUCCAGCACCAGGUGCCGUUGUCAUUCCUGACCUCCCCGGGUUGUGGCGUUGGACAUGCCCUGAUCCUUAAAAAGGGGUAAGAGAGCUGUAUUUCAUUAUCCGAAGGUGAUCUCUACUUACCUUGUCUUGUGUCCAUCAGGUGUCAGUGUGAGAGCUGUGACCCUCCCGAGCGCUGCAAGGGCUCUGUGAGGCUCCUGGUGGACGCAGCAGGAACCCGCACGCAUAGAUGGACGCCAAGAUCCGCUCCUUCCUGUGUCUGGCAAGCUCUGCUGACCCCUGAGGUCGUUCCCACGCUUGCGGAGGUUCUAUGGGCUUGGUGUUGGUUGUCGCUCGUGCUCACCGUGCUGUCACCGGGUGUUCUUCCUUUGCCCGUC